CACAAGGAGGAAGGGAGCUGCUUCUUCUCUUUCAUCUGAUCAGAAGGGGAAAAGAAAAUGCCAGUGUGAGCCACUGAUGAAUCAGCAAAUGUCACAAGCUACCACCAGGUGGCGCUUGGAGAUUAUACCACUUCCCAAAUCAAGAAUGAGCCAAACCAAACCGAGCAGGAUAUCUGAGCUCCACCACGGGGAAGCCAAAUCCAAGCAAACUAGAAGAACCCAGAGCCAUAUUCAAGCUCCCCCAAUCUCGAGGAACUCAGUGGAGUUGUGGGCAUUGGAGAAGACCAUUAGAUGACUGGCUCCACAGAAAGCCACCAAACAGUCUGAAGCAC